rnacentral:rRNA from 1 species
AAAACGACUCUCGGCAACGGAUAUCUAGGCUCUCGCAUCGAUGAAGAACGUAGCGAAAUGCGAUACUUGGUGUGAAUUGCAGAAUCCCACGAAUCAUCGAGUUUUUGAACGCAAGUUGCGCCCGAAGCCUUUCGGCCGAGGGCACGUCUGCCUGGGUGUCACGC